CGGCCGGGACGGAGGCGGCCGGGGGUGGCGAGCGGAGCCUGCUUCCUCCUCGCCCCGCGCCGGCGCCGCGCCCCGCCGCAUUUUCUGGGCCCCGGGCUCGGCUGCUCACGGCGGAGAGAGCAGGCCGCUGAGGAGGCGGGCGCCCGGGCCUGCCCGGACAGGAAGUGGGCCCAGGUUUCCCACUCCUCGCUCCGCGCCUUCCUCCCUGGAGGCCGCGAGCGUCCCGGCGGUGGCCGGGCAGCCGGAUGCUCCCGGGCGGCGGGCUGUGGCCCCGGAGGCUGAGGGCAGCGCGGGUGCGGCGGAGGCAGGGAGGCAGGGAAGCCGCGGGCCGGCCUUCUCGCUGGCAACGGCGCCCUACACGGACGAUCAAUGAAUGGACAUUACUCAAGUAUUGAUCGAGAACUCGCAGUGGGCUAGGGUCACUCCCUCGGGAGGAAGCCAGCUGCCACAUUGUGAAGAUACUCAUAGUCCUGUGGAGGGAAAUCCUCCAUAUGGCUGAGGCCUGCUGCCAGCAACCAGCACUGACUUGCCAGCUAUAUGAUUGUGCCACCCUGGAAGCAGAUUUUCCAGCCCCAGUCAAGCCUUCAGAUGAUGUCAGCCCCCGCUGAUCUCUUGACUGCAACCCCAUGAGAGACCAUGAGACAGAACUAGCCAGCUUACCCCUCAUGGUUACAAAGUGGCUGCAACAGCUCCAGGCAUUCUAUCCUUUAACACAGAAUAACUCAAACAACAAGACCCAAAAUUCAGACAAGAAGGAAAGGGACUUUUGAAGAGCGAAGAAAACUUUCCCAGAAACCUCAGACUUCUCCUCAUGCCUUACUGGCCAGAUUGUUUCCAUGCCCAUUCCUAAACCAGUCAUUGGCAAAGUGAGAGGAAUUUAUGUGAUUAGAUUAGCUUCAUGAAGAAUGCAUCCUCAGAGAGGCUGAGAAAAAGUCCAACCUCCUUUGAAGAGCCUGGCUACCUUUUACCUGAACAAAACAAGAAUUCUGAUGACAAGAAAAAGGGAGAAUUCAUGUGGAGCAGGCAUCUGGAGUGUCUAAGCCAGGAUUUUUUUCAGCGCAUUUCACCAGUUAUAUUUUUGUCUCUUUAUCUCACAAGAUAUGUGGCACAUUUGCCUAAAACAAGCCUUGCUUUCUGAUUUCUAUGCACUAGACAAGCCUUGUAAAUGUCACUUACCUAACAGUCACCAUCAAGGAGUAUCUGGCUAAAGAAUCUCCAGCCAGACAAAGUACAAAUGUUGGUGCUCUGGCAGUUGAAUAUAUUGUAUCAGGCUCAACAGCUCCUUUCGCCAAAGCAUGAGACUUCACAGCCAUUAGAUCUUCUUUUGUUUUUUGUUUUUUUUUUAAUUUAACACACUAUUGCUAACUUGAGGCCAUUAAAUCUUCUUACCCCAAUACCACAAAAGUUCAGUGGAAUCAGUGGUAUAUCAAGGCAAGUGGAGUCAGGGAGCCGGGAGUGGUCAGCCCCGGGGAAGGCAAUGAGGGAUUGUGAACUGUGAAGAAUUUUAAAGCAAUGAUACAGCUCUAAGUGCAAGGUACUAUCCUGGGCUUGGCCCUGAAAGAGAAAAAAGAUAUUAGUGGAAAAACUGGUAAAAUUCAAAUGAACUCUGUAGUUUGGUUAAUAGUAUUGUACCAAUGUUAAUUUCUGUGUUUUGAUAAAUGUAUCAUGGUUAUGUAAGCAGGAUGAAAGAUAUGUGGGAAAUCUCUCUACUGUUUCUGCAACUCCUGUAAAUCUAAAAUUAUUUCAAAAUAAAAAGAUUUAAUGUUAAAAUUGA